rnacentral:rRNA from 1 species
UACGGAGGAUGCGAGCGUUAUCCGGAUUUAUUGGGUUUAAAGGGUGAGCAGGCGGCACGGCAAGCCGGCGGUCAAAUCGCGGGGCUCAACCCCGCCCAGCCGUCGGAACUGCCGGGCUAGAGUGGGCGAGAAGUGCGCGGAAUGCGUGGUGUAGCGGUGAAAUGCAUAGAUAUCACGCAGAACUCCGAUUGCGAAGGCAGCGCACCGGCGCCCUACUGACGCUCAGGCACGAAAGCGUGGGUAUCGAACAGG